rnacentral:lncRNA from 1 species
CUGGACUAAAUUGCCCCAAGUUUUCAUUUGAUGUAAUUAUGAAAUAACACCUUCAACCAAGGUAGUGUUUUAAAAAAUUCUGGUGAGGACAUUUGUCUUCAUUUAAGUGUUUCUUAAAUAUUAUUUGUCCUCUUGUGGGAGAAAAAAAAAUUCAACUGCAUUAAUGUUUUUUGUGUUGAAUAUGAGAGGAAGCUCCUAAAGACUAAUUUUCCAGAUUACUUAUUUUAUAUUUAGUGCCAUUAAUUCCACAUGUGUGAAAAACAUAUAAUUAUACCCACACUAUUAGUACUGAAUAAAAUUCUGUAUUAUUCAAGUGUAGUAAUAGAUAAAUUGGCACUAGACUCAUGUACACAAAUGAGGCUUUUGAACUUUAGUGUGAUUUCAAUUAUCUCACUUUAGCAUCAGAAGUGCUCAGCAAAAUAUCUAGAUUCUGCAUUUGCUAAAUAUUUCUCCACCUCCAGCAUCAUUCUGGUAAAACAGCGCACAGGAUAAAUUGCUAGGGACAUAAGACUUUGUGCAAUCUGCGUGUUCUUUCCAGUAAAGGGACGGCAGCAGGAGAGUGGUUCCCAAAUGCCGUUCCAGGGACCACUAGUGCUUUGAGAUGCUCCUUGAAAAAAGAACUGCGCAGUCAAAUGUCUUUGGAUGGCGCUACAUCAGACGCCCCCUCUUGAACUGUCAGGAGGCACCUUAGGAUGUUACAGGCUCUGAGAAGUCCUGCAUUGAGAAAGCCCCGGAAUAUUGUUUCAGCCGGCAUUUCUCCUGCUUUGGGCUCGGUGCCUAGUAAUGUCUAUCAACAACCUGGGAGGUGCUGCUCUACCAACUGAAUACUAGGUGGGCAUUUGUUCUUCUGCCUGCUUGGAGCUUGGCGGAGUUGAGCUUCCUUCAUCCCUUCUGGUCUGAUUCCUCAGAUGAACAAGUGGCCAUUGCCAGUCUAAUGGACCGAGAUGCCAUGUAUGCUACCAGAGGGCCUGCCCCUCCUUCCUGCUUGGCUCACCUUCCAGGUCUGACCCUGCAUUGCCUUGAAUUCACUUCUCUCUAUUUUCCAGCACAGGGCAGAGCAGUCCUUCCUGGACCCCUUGCCCCUGGGCCAGGUCACAUGACUAGUUCCAGCCAAUGAGUUAUAAGCAAAAUAAUAGGCACCCCUGCCUGGCUGGGGCAGCGAGCUGCCAGCAUGGGGAUCUUCCAAAACUCUCUUCUUCCUCUUACCUGACCCAGUGGGAGUCAGCCCGCUCAAAAAUACAAAGGAUGCCCAGCUAAAUUUGAACUUCACGUAAACAUGCCAUUUCAAAUAUUGCAUGAGUCAUACUUAUACUAAAAAAGGGUGCUUGUUAUUUUUCUGAAACUCAAAUUUAACUGUGUCCUGUAUUUUGCUUGGCUAAGUCUGGCGACCCUAAGAAAUAAACCUUUGUUAGGGCCCUGCGAUGCGGGGAUUAUCUGUCACCACCCUACAGCCUAAGCAGUCUAUCUGCCACAGGCCACUUGCAAGGGCGACUACCAGGACUGCAAUGAUGGCCAGGUCACAUCACUCUUCUGAGAGCAAGGUGUGGCCUCACCAGCUUACAAAGUCAAGGGCGCACUUCAGUCUCAGCACCCCGAGAAGCCCUGAGCAGCAACAAGGAACAGGUCGGCGUGUCACAAAAGCACUAUCUGCACCUGUGUCCCCAAACAAAGUCAAGUACAGACGCACCUGUGUCCCCAUGCAAAGUCAAGGACGGACGUUCUCUUCCCACUUUGCAGAGAAAAAAUAAGAAACCCUUCAAAAUGCCUCCUUAAAUGUCAAUCUUCCCCCGUGAUUUUUACUCAGCUCUUCAGGUGUGCACUUCAGGCCUUUAGAAAUCCCCCAAGAUCCACCGCCAGGAUCAUUUCUCAGACAAAAUGUGAUUUAGCACAACUUGAUAUAUGUUGUCCGUUUUCGUUUAAUAUCCCAGCAUCUCAUGAUGUGGGCAAAGAAGCCCUGGUAGAGUGUUUGAAAUAAGAAAGCCCUUUUCCAUCCACGGCGUGAGGAACCCUCUCGUUGACACUGAUGCUGCCCACACGUGUAAAGUGCUUUUUAAAGCCACCAAAAUGGUACUGGACCGUCAACCAGCUUAAGUGGAUUUGCAGCAACUGGGGCAAAAACGAAGGCACCCAAGGCACAGAUUUCCACGUGAACCUUAAAGACAGGUGACUGUGGCUGGUUUGUGUGGAUGUUCAUUUUUACGUGGAACCUGGAGAGACAGGAAAGAACGCUGGGUGCCCUGUUUCCUAAAGACACAACAAAGCCGCUGGGGGCUGCUUGCUUUGAAGAGCUCUGUCUUGGAGCCGCGUGCGGCAAUUUUCAUUCCUGAUAAAAGUAUCAGUUACUCAAGUGUGAGAACAUCUGAUGUGAUGUGUGGUAGAAAUUGUUCAAGACGUGAUGCACAGACAGCAGGCGGGGAAGAACAAACAUCACCUUGCCGCCGAGUGUAGCGGCGCUGCCAGUUGUGUUUUGUUUUGUGUUGUCCCAAAGCUGUAAAUAGGAAAAUCUGGAUUGUAGAGACUCCUGCAGUGGCCCUGCCCUACUCGGUCAGGAACAGACUGCGCUGGCCUGGAACACGACAGUUCAGCGAAUAUCUUAGGGUAUUUCGAAGUGCAAAGGAGAUGUUUUCUGGGGGUCUUUUUUCUUCUUUUCUUUGGAGGGCCCCACCUGCAGCAUAUGGAAGUUCCCAGGCUAGGGGUUGAAUCAGAGCUGCAGCCACCAGCCUACACCACAGCCACAGCAACGCACGAUCCAAGCCACAUCUGCAACCUACAUUUCAGCUUUUGGCAACUCUGGAUCCUGAGCCCACUGAGUGAGGCCAGGGAUCGAACCGGCAUCCUCAUGGACACUAGUUGGGUUCUUAACCCGCUGAACCACAAAAGGAACUCCAGGAGAUGUUUUGUUUGUUUGUUUGAAGUAACCUAACCCAGGGUCUAACAUUUAGUCAUGGAAGUUUCAUGGUUGUCAGUUUCCUCUCUUCUUUUUGGAAACUUUCAUCAGAUGCUAUUAUAAAGACAUCUUAUUGAAACAUGGACCUUUAGGAAUCACCCAAGAGCUUUAAAUCUUCCCUGAAGGAGAAAUCCACCCACAGAAGUUGGGGGCUCUGACUGCCUGGGUUAUUUGCUCUAAAGAAGCUGAAAAAACCAUCUGAGAAGAUGAGACAAACACACAGGGAAUGAUGGCAGAACCAUACCCUCCAAGGAACCUAAUUGAAUAGUAGGAAUAAACCCUGCAAUAUAUUAAUAAUUAGAGAAACUGACCAGGCUGGCACGGGCAAAGGAUGGAUGGCUGUAUCUGGCCCUUGGAUGAGGUCAGUGAUCAGCAGAGGCAGAGAGGAGGAGAGAGGGCACAGGCCUGGGAUCGGUGAAGGUGGAGGUGGAGGGAGGCGACCAGAACAGCAGCCGUGCUGUGUCCACUGUCCCAGAAGCCAAGGAUCGGAGUUGAAAGGAAUCAGGCUUAUCUAACCUAACGCAUGAAAACAGCCGCAGCUAUGACUCGAGCAAGCCUACUGUGUGCCAGGAACCCUGCUGAGUGCCUUGCCAACAGCUUCCCACCUAAUCCCUUGCAGCAAUCACACACACACACACACACACACACACACACACACACACACACAGGUCUUGCUUUUCCCACUGCAGCCGUGGUUUCCGCAGCAUCUCCCACUGUGGGCCCCCCCGCCCUGCUCACCCACAGGCAGUAGCCCGUUCUGCCGAGGAAGGUCUGCUUUCCUCAGUUCCCAGUUCCGGCUCCAUUUAGCAAUGGAACCGCCUGGGAAAGCAAGCAGACACUGGGUUCAGACGGAUCAGAGUUUGAAUUCCAGCCCUCCCAGCUGUGCAACUCGAAGAACCCGUAUUUAUGUCUCUCAGCUUCGGUUUCCCCGUUGUUGAAAUUGACUUCCUGUUACCUGAGAAAUCGGUGCUAUGACAAUUUACCUGAGAUGAUGCAGGCAAGUUAGUUAGUAAUUCGUAUUCGUCUCUUGCAUCACUCUGUGCAGCCAAUCACGAUAAAUGCCGUCCUUCCUCGUGGCAUUUCUUGAAGGCAGAUGAAGCGAUGGUGGCCGUCCAAUGAGCAAGCCACUCACUCCUUAUUCCUGGUGGCCCUGAACGGAUUCGUGGUGGUCACCUCGCUCCUUUUCGCGGGUCACCAACCAUCCGUUAAAUAAUUCCUUCCUGCAUUGUGCCAGACACUUAAGCGCACCUGUCCGGCUUCUUUCUGAAAGCCGGACCGUCUGCCGCCCCGCGUCUCCUACGGUGCUUUUCCCCCGUGUGUCCAGAGCUGUCAGUGUCGGGCCGGCUGUGAUUUCCAUUGGGUCCUGAGAUGAAAACGAUCUAAACCAGGGCACUUUAUUUUAAGUCAGGGAUGGAUCUCAAGAACUCCCCCAACCUACCGAUUCAGAAUCGUUUUAAACAGAUCCCUGUUAGGUCGGAGGAAGGAGGAACGCACGAGGCCACGAGCCAGAGAUGCAUUCAUGCAUCUGAAACGGCUGGGCUGGGCUCAGGACCCUUACAAAGGGUCCUGGUGGGAGUCUGAGAGGAGGGUCUGUGGUGGGACCUUGGGACAAGGACAAGGACAGGCAGGUUACCCAGUGUGGGGAAGGGGUCGGUGGGGCACGUCCCACGACUGAGUGACUGUGGCGGGGAAUAUGAUAGGGAAGGGAAAAGUUAGCACAGUGAGAGAAGAUGGUUGGGGUCUGAGUCUCUCGACCGGGUAAGAGCAGCAACAGGAACUGACAUUGCAGGGGGCAGUUAACCUGUACAGGUGGUUAAUCUUUGCAGGCAGGUAUUUCCCGUUACACCAUUGUUUCUUGCUGUCCAGCUUCCAACAGCCACAUUCCCAGGGAGGGGGCUUCCUCCUUUCUCCUGGAAACCUAUCCAUCCCCAGGUAAACCAUGCACACCUUGGAGACUGAGCUGCAUGGAGCUGGGGGAAGGGGGUAGCCCUCAGACUUGACUGCACUUCAGAAUUAACUGGCAGGAGCUCCCGUCGUAGCUCAACAGUUACCAACUCAACUAGUAUCCAUGAGGAGGUGGGUUUGAUCCCUGGCCUCGCUGACUGGGUUAAGGAUCUGGUGUUGCCAUGACACAGCUCAGAUCUGGUGUUUCUGGGGCUGUAGUGUAGGCCAGUAGCUGCAGCACCGAUUUGACCCCUAGCCUGGGAAUUUCUGUAUCCCACAGGUGUAGCCCUAAAAAGACAAAAAAAAAAAAAA